UUUUUGCUGUGUUUGUUUCUAAGAUGGACAUGUAAGGGUUCAAUAGGACACACACAAGAACACCUAAGUGAGUGUUGCUGUUACUUCAGUCUUGUUGCCUGGGUGGUCCUAUCUUUAGCUUGUUCUCACUUUGUUCCUGGAUUCAGUAUGAUUCUACAGGACUGCUUUUACAAUAGUUCGCCGUUGCCCCAGGUGUGGUAAAGCAUUAUUUAUUUUAUAAGCAAAUUUAAUUCGAAUUUAUAAUUUGUUGGAAAAGAAAAUCUAAUUAUUUUGAUUUUAUAGAAUAAUUGCUCACCUACAUCCUCUGUUGUUAAGAGCUUAAGGCUGCCAUGAUUGGGGUUAGAAAGUAGUUAAGUUUGUUGUGUGGAUAAAUGUGCAGCUCGCAAAGCUCUCAUGCCUGGCUGAGUCUCUAGAGCGCUGCCCGGCAACGUCACUGAAGAGUGAAGUGUGUGCACUUUGUUAUUACAGAACAUCAUCAUUGCCUCCUACAUGCAGUUGAUAAGUCACUGAAAUGUUAAAAUAACUACAUCAAACCUGCAUGCAAAGAAAGACUACAAAGCAGAGAGACUGGAUUGCAAAGGAGUGUCUCAUUAUGAUGUAAAAGCUUUGUUACAUUUUUAUGCGCUGUAAGCCCUUCUUAUUCCUUGACUUAAAAGACCUCCAGUCCCUGACUAGCUAUCUUUGCAGCAUUAGCAGAAGUGUCUGGGAGAGUGCAGAUGGGACACAGAAUCAUAAAGUCUCCACAGGAAGCAGAGGAAGGCUCUGAUCCAGAGAAGAGGAUGGAGCCCUCAGACGCAACACUAGAUAGAGAAAUGCAAGGAGAAAGGGAUUUGUCAAUGAUUAUGAGCUCUGCACAGACCUUCGAUUAGCGAUGGAAAUAAAAAGGAAUAUUUCACUGCUAUAA